rnacentral:rRNA from 1 species
CUUCCCUCUUCCCUCAGAUCUCGAUCUGCCGCUGCCCACAACCCCACCCCCACCGCCACCAUCGACGACCAUCACCGUAGACGAGGUCGAGGCCGACCCAAGAUCGAGCCCAUGCCCAGACUCGCGAUGUGCACAACGGGGAUUCACAGGCAACCCCACGCAAAUCAGGACCUCGAUCUGGAUCGAGCAGGCGCUCUCCACCGACGGGGCUUGGGCUGGCCGGCGUCCCACGUUGACGUCCUCCUCCCUCCCGCUCCCGGCAAUGCGCUCGGUCUCCGCACUCGGCCUCACCUUCAUAGUCACAGCGGGAUCUGCAUGGAGAUGGCACGGGUGCUGGCGGCACGUGGGGCGCGGCACCCACGUCUUCAUAGCCGCCUGGAACCUCACCGCCGCCGAGACCAUGCGCCAGGCCGUCCUGGCCGAGACCCCUGGCGCGAGCGUGGACGUGAUGGAGCAUCCGUGUGCAACUUCUUAUUCCUCGCCGUGAUAGAGCGGGAUGUUGAGCGGGAUCCGUCCACAGAGCCAUCCCUUUCCCUCCUUCGUCACCUCCGUCCGCAACUUCGCAGCCGGCUUCGCUGACAGGGGCCUACCGCUCAACAUCCUCAUUGAGAGAGCUGAAUGGGGCGAGGCUGGAGGCAUCGGUGAGGGCGUACGGUGGCGCCCGCCAGAGCAAGGUGUCCAACAAAUGGAGAAGAAGGAGCACGCCUAGGAGAAGAAGGAGCAAGCCCAGGAGAAAAACAACGAGCAGGAGAAGAGGGGAGCAAGCCCAACUUAAACUAUUGUUGUUUAUGUUGUUACACGCUUGUUGAUCCGUCAGACUCCACGGCUGCUCCGCAUCGUCCACACAUGUCAUUUUUAUUAUCAAAAUCUGAAUUGUAGUAGUCAUAAUAUUGGGCUGUUGGGAGCCUCACCUUUUUGUGCACAAUACAUUUAGCACACAUGUCCACACUAAGUGCUUAUGAAAUAGCUAUGUGUCCUACACAAUAAGUGCUUGUUCAUGUUUGGUUUUCCCUAAACUUUGUUUGUAUGCUUGAGAGCAAAUUUAGUUGAUUCUUUGAUGAAGCACUAAGACUAUGCAUGGAACAUUAGUUUUUAAGAUCUAAAACUGCUCGUCGUUUCUGUGAUGAUGUAGUUUAGUAGAUCUCAACUGAACCAUGUCUGUAUUAUGUGCCAGUGUAGCUGUACUGAUUCUUUGGUUUUCAUCCGUGCAACAGAGGACAAGGGCGUCAUGGCCAACCAAGGCGCAUGGUGCUCGCAAGCAACGAGCGGAGGUUGUUUGACAUCGGCACGGAGGAGGAGGACGGGCACGGACGGAGGACAGAGCAUCUCUCUUCUUCCAGUGAGCAGCUUCAGGAGGAGCUCAAGCACGACCACCAAGAGGCACCACCGCAGCAAUAGGGCGACUGUGGAAGGCAUGUUGUAUUUCUGUCAGCCCAGUCCUGACUAUGUCUGUCCGUGAGUCCGACAUUUGAUCGCUGUUGAAGGAGCUCCAUGCUGAAGAAGAGAACACUUGUAGAGCUUGUAACAUUACUUGGAGAGCUUGUAAAGUACUGUAGAGCUU